UACAAAAGCGACAACUGUCAUUUUUUUGUUCCGGAUUUGUUCGGUGGUGCCUCGGAAUUAACUUUUUCCAGAUUUUGCCGUGAAGUUCCUGCGUUUAUGCAGACAGCAAUAUGGAACCGGAAGAUCAAUUGCCAGUUGCCAGGCACUCCCCGACGAGCCCCGAGCAAUCCCCAUGACUGGCAGGAAAAAUAUGGCACAAUGUAUAUAGCUCAUCUAGAUGGCUGCGCAUCACAAUUCAAAAAGAAUGGCUAUGGUUUAUUGUCAAUAUUUUAAAAUCCUGUCUAGAAAAAUCCUGCUGAUCUAAACGGUGCUGAUAAUUACAUACUUUGUAUUUAUGAUCUGACCCCGAUGGAAUAAAACACCUAUGUGAAGUUUGAAAUAAACAAACAAAACUAA